AGUUAAUAAGCAAUAAAUUUUUGCAUAUAUUUUGAAAAUAUAAGUUUAGAAAUUAACUCUUUCUAUUAACUU
rnacentral:tRNA from 1 species